CUAAUAAAUCACUUUAAAAGUGCCUCGGUACACGAGGGUAAAAGGGAAAACGGUUCAAAUCCGUUGCAGCCCCCGCUACUGUACUUACUAAAUCACAAGUCUGAUUUAGUAAAAGCCAGGAAACCUGCUUUUAGAGUUUUAGUACU
rnacentral:ncRNA from 2 species